rnacentral:rRNA from 1 species
GGAAUAUUGGUCAAUGGGCGAGAGCCUGAACCAGCCAUGCCGCGUGUAGGAUGACGGCCUUCUGGGUUGUUAACUACUUUUCUACAGGAAGAAAACGUUCAUGCGUGGACAAUUGACGGUACUGUAGGAAUACGCACCGGCUAACUCCGUGCCAGCAGCCGCGGUAAUACGGAGGGUGCGAGCGUUGUCCGGAUUGAUCGGGUUUAAAGGGUGCGUAGGCGGAUAUUUAAGUCAGUGGUGAAAGCCCGCAGCUUAACUGUGGAACUGCCAUUGAUACUGGAGAGCUUGAGUACGGUUGAAGUAGGCGGAAUUUAUGGUGUAGCGGUGAAAUGCAUAGAUACCAUAAAGAACACCGAUAGCGUAGGCAGCUUACUAAGCCGUAACUGACGCUGAGGCACGAAAGCAUGGGGAGCG